rnacentral:rRNA from 1 species
UACAGAGGUCUCAAGCGUUGUUCGGAUUCAUUGGGCGUAAAGGGUGCGUAGGUGGCGCUGUAAGUCGGGUGUGAAAUUUCGGAGCUUAACUCCGAAACUGCAUUCGAUACUGCGGUGCUUGAGGACUGGAGAGGAGACUGGAAUUCAUGGUGUAGCAGUGAAAUGCGUAGAUAUCUGGAGGAAUACCGGUGGCGAAGGCGGCAUCCUGGACCGGCAUUGACGCUGAGGAGCGAAAGCCAGGGGAGCAAACGGG